GAUGAACGCUGGCGGCGUGCCUAAUACAUGCAAGUCGAGCGAACAGACGAGGAGCUUGCUCCUCUAACGUUAGCGGCGGACGGGUGAGUAACACGUGGAUAACCUACCUAUAAGACUGGGAUAACUUCGGGAAACCGGAGCUAAUACCGGAUAAUAUAUUGAACCGCAUGGUUCAAUAGUGAAAGACGGUUUUGCUGUCACUUAUAGAUGGAUCCGCGCCGCAUUAGCUAGUUGGUAAGGUAACAGCUUACCAAGGCAACGAUGCGUAGCCGACCUGAGAGGGUGAUCGGCCACACUGGAACUGAGACACGGUCCAGACUCCUACGGGAGGCAGCAGUGGGGAAUAUUGCACAAUGGGCGCAAGCCUGAUGCAGCGACGCCGCGUGGGGGAUGACGGCCUUCGGGUUGUAAACUCCUUUCGCUAGGGACGAAGCUUUUUGUGACGGUACCUAGAUAAGAAGCACCGGCUAACUACGUGCCAGCAGCCGCGGUAAUACGUAGGGUGCGAGCGUUGUCCGGAAUUACUGGGCGUAAAGGGCUCGUAGGUGGUUUGUCGCGUCGUCUGUGAAAUUCCGGGGCUUAACUCCGGGCGUGCAGGCGAUACGGGCAUAACUUGAGUACUGUAGGGGUAACUGGAAUUCCUGGUGUAGCGGUGAAAUGCGCAGAUAUCAGGAGGAACACCGAUGGCGAAGGCAGGUUACUGGGCAGUUACUGACGCUGAGGAGCGAAAGCAUGGGUAGCGAACAGGAUUAGAUACCCUGGUAGUCCAUGCCGUAAACGGUGGGCGCUAGGUGUGAGGGUCUUUUCACGACUUUCGUGCCGUAGCUAACGCAUUAAGCGCCCCGCCUGGGGAGUACGGCCGCAAGGCUAAAACUCAAAGGAAUUGACGGGGGCCCGCACAAGCGGCGGAGCAUGUGGAUUAAUUCGAUGCAACGCGAAGAACCUUACCUGGGCUUGACAUACACUGGAUCGCUGCAGAGAUGUAGUUUCCCUUUGUGGCUGGUGUACAGGUGGUGCAUGGUUGUCGUCAGCUCGUGUCGUGAGAUGUUGGGUUAAGUCCCGCAACGAGCGCAACCCUUGUCUUAUGUUGCCAGCAUUUGGUUGGGGACUCAUGAGAGACUGCCGGGGUCAACUCGGAGGAAGGUGGGGAUGACGUCAAAUCAUCAUGCCCCUUAUGUCCAGGGCUUCACACAUGCUACAAUGGUCGGUACAACGCGCAGCGACACUGUGAGGUGGAGCGAAUCGCUGAAAGCCGGCCUUAGUUCGGAUUGGGGUCUGCAACUCGACCCCAUGAAGUCGGAGUCGCUAGUAAUCGCAGAUCAGCAAUGCUGCGGUGAAUACGUUCCCGGGCCU
rnacentral:rRNA from 1 species